CUUUAAGAAGCACGGGACCUGGUAGGGUGGGUGGAUUGGCACGCCAUGGUGGCGUUAAUACUGUAUUAUGAGAGACCAAGACUUGCUGGUGAGCACAUGUUGUGGGCCUCGUAGGUCCGGAGGGAGAUGCGACUGCGGUACCUGACAUGCGCCGUGGGCGGCUGCGACGGUUGCGGUUGCGGCCACCGGAGAGGAGGUGCGCGCUGGUGGUGGCGGUGGCGGUGACGGCGUUGUGGAAGGAGGGAGGGGAUAGGUAGGUUGGGGCUGGCAUUGCUGCAACUUUUAUCGUGGUUUUCUUUUUGUGUGCUCCUCUUCGUUUCUGCAUUCGUUUGAGCCUCCGUCGCGA
rnacentral:lncRNA from 1 species